rnacentral:rRNA from 1 species
AUUGAACGCUGGCGGCAUGCCUUACACAUGCAAGUCGAACGGUAACAGGGAGCUUGCUCCGCUGACGAGUGGCGAACGGGUGAGUAAUGCAUCGGAACGUACCCAGUAGUGGGGGAUAACGCAGCGAAAGCUGUGCUAAUACCGCCUACGCACUGAGGUGGAAAGCAGGGGCCCUUCGGGCCUUGUGCUAUUGGAGCGGCCGAUGUCAGAUUAGCUAGUUGGUGGGGUAAAAGCUCACCAAGGCGACGAUCAGUAGCUGGUCUGUGAGGAUGAGCAGCCACACUGGGACUGCGACACAGCCCAGACUCCGACGGGAGGCAGCAGUGGGGAAUUUUGGACAAUGGGGGCAACCCUGAUCCAGCCAUGCCGCGUGAGUGAAGAAGGCCUUCGGGUUGUAAAGCUCUUUCGGCCGGGAAGAAAUCGCCAUCUCUAACAUAGGUGGUGGAUGACGGUACCGGAAUAAGAAGCACCGGCUAACUACGUGCCAGCCGCCGCCGUAA